AGAUGUCGAAUCCAGCAAAAAUUUCCUGACCGACUUCGGGAGAGAGAGGAAUUAUUGCUACGUGCCUCUUUCCCAGUGAAGAAAAUCUCUGUUGGCUGCGAGCAGAGAAGCGGCGGAAGGAUUCCCGACUCCGGGAAGCCAGGUGUCGGAAGGAGGAGGUACGCUUGAAGGGGGUCCGGCUGCCCGACUCUGCACUCCUCCGUUCAUGGCCCACUGUGGUGGUCACCAAAUUGAGGGCUUCCUGGAAGGACCUCCUCACGGUGCCCAUCCACUGGGUCAUGUGGGUCUGAGCCACUGUGAGUUUAUCUCCCAGCUGUCUCUCCCUCCCUCUCUGGAAGGCAACACUGAGCCAGGAUCUCACUCUGUUGCCCAGGCUGGACUGCAGUGGCGUGAUCAUAGCUCACUGCAGCCUUGGCCUCCCAGGCUCAAGCGAUCCUCCCACCUCAGCCUCCUGAGUAGCUGAGACUAUAGAUGGAGCAACACCGUCAGUCAGAAGGUAGCAGAUGGCACAGGGCUUCCGCGUAAGGCCUGCAUCACCUUAGUCAUGGUUUUCUCAUCUUGUAUGAGGCCCACCCGCUUCAAAAGGUUGUGACAAAAAAAACAACCGAGAUAAUUUGUGCCCCUGGCACAUAGUAAACACUCAAUAAGGCUGGGCGCAGUGGCUCACACCUGUAAUCCCAGCAGUUUCGGAGGCUGAGGCAGGUGGAUCACUUCAGGCCAGGAGUUCAAUACCAGCCUGACCAACACGGCAAAACCUCGUCUCUACUAAAAAUACAACAAUUAGCCAGGCAUAGUGGUGUGCACCUGUAGUUCCAGCUACUCAGGAGCCUGAGGCAGGAGCAUCUCUUGAACCCAGAAAGUGGAGGUUGCAGUGAGCGGAGAUCGCACCACUGCACUCCAGCCUGGGUGACAGAACAAGACUCUGUCUCAAAAUAGCAACAACAACAACAA